GGGUUGUGAGGUUAAGCGACUAAGCGUACACGGUGGAUGCCCUGGCAGUCAGAGGCGAUGAAGGGCGUGCUAAUCUGCGAUAAGCGCCGGUAAGGUGAUAUGAACCGUUAUAACCGGCGAUACCCGAAUGGGGAAACCCAGUGUGACUCGUCACACUAUCAUUAACUGAAUCCAUAGGUUAAUGAGGCGAACCGGG
rnacentral:rRNA from 1 species